UAGGACCCUGGGAUCGUGACGUAGUUCUACCUAAAUUCUCGUGGACACAGUGCUUUCUGAAAAUACUAAAUUACUGCAGAGCUCUCCUAGCUUGGAAGCCAUUCUGUUUCUUCCAGGUUUAGUGCCCGCAGUAUCAACAGAAGAAUGCCCAGCUGAAGUCUGACCUGUGUAGUGGUGCUGUAGCUAAACCGUGCAUGCAGUCAUUGAGCUCUACGUGAGUGUGUGUGUUCUGGUGCGGGAGUAAACACAUAGCAAAGUAAACUAAAUAUAGUAUAGUUCUUGGCACUAAAAGGAACAUGUUUCACAACUGUGGAAAGUAUGAAGGGAGGGAAAAUUUCAGAGGUAAUAAAUUAAGCUCUUUAAUGUAAAUGAUGA